CUGUGGGUCCUGCCUGAUUGGAAUUGAGUUUUUAAGUGGCCAAAUCUGCUUGGGUUAUUCUGCUUAUGUAAGACAUGACCCUGAAAGUGGAUACAUUGAUAUUUUAGUCUCAAGAUGUAUUUUUAAUUCUCUAGUGAUUGACUUAUGCUUUGUCAUUUACCAAGUACCCGGUAUUAAUAAAUGGAAUAAGUUGGACUAAUGGUGCAUCACUGAGGAAUGGGGAGAUCUGACUUCUUGGAACCUUGGAAGUCCUAAACUGUCAUGGAAGACACACAGCUGAAGUGAUCUUGCUGGAGAGACCAUGCGGAGAGACAACAUGGAGACAGAGAAACAUGUGGGAGGAUCCUCAGCUGCUCUGGCCACCAGAUGCCUCAGUCUCUCUGGGCCCAGAGGAGAAGUAUGGUAUUUUAUGAGAAGACAUGCUAUGAAUGACGAAAGGCUCUAUUUCAGCAAGUCACAGGCAGAAAAGUCCAAAACAAUUGAAUAGAACUGCAGCAUUGUUGAAAGGUUUUACUCACGUCGCCCAGGUGGAGAGCAGUGGCGCAUUCAUGUGAACCUUGAUUUUUUUGGCAUGUAAAAUGGGAUUAAUAAAAGUACCACUAGCUAUGAGAAUUAGAUGAGUAUUUUGUACAAUAUAAGACUCUACAAAAUAAUAGCACAGUAAGUUUUCCCUUAAUGUCAUUGAUAGGUUCUUGGAAAUGAUUACUUUAAGUGAAAUGAUGUAUUACAAAGCCAUUUUUCUCAUCAGUUUUAAUGAAACAACACUGAACAAAAGAAAGUUAUUUAAGGACCUGUGUAGGACAUUAAGUGAGGACUUACUGUAAUAUUAUUAUUUUUAUGUACUUAAACAUAAUUAUUGAACAUCUACUAUGUAGUAAUAUCAUGCAAGGAACUAGGGGAAAAGUGGUGAUUACAUUUCAUGAUAAAUGACAUGGUUGCUGCUCUCAAGAAGCUUUCUCUUGUGAAAAAAAAGAAUCAAACAAGGGUUUUCAACAAAUGGUCAUAAGGGAGAAGUGCAGGGUGCAGAGGGGGUUCCCAUCAGGGCCCAUAGCUUUGGCUAGGACCCCAUCAGAGAAGACUUUCCAGAGGGAGUGGCCCUGGGCUUUCCUUAGGUUGUGUUUGGAUGCACAUUUUAGUUUUCUCCCACACAGAACCUAACUUCUUUAACGCCUUGAUUCAAUCGGCAUUUAUGGAUUGCUUUGUGUGAACUAGGCUCAAAGAUGACUGGUCAUGGGUCCUGCUCUCAAGGAUUCUCAUUUCUCUUGGAAGAUUGAAACUGUGUACUGUGUAUAUGUUGUGAUAAUAAUUAUUGAUGACAUUUAUUGUCUCUGUCCUAUAUGGUAGGCACUAUUCAAAGUACUUUGUAUGGAUGAGCUCUGGGGCAAAUGAACUCAAGGACUUAUCCAAGUUUACACUGCUAGCAAGAGGUAGAACCAGGCAUAUGAACUGUGGCCAUCUGGCUCCUGGACUUGAACUCUGAAGCACCACCUACAUUGUUUUAACAGAGGUGUGUCCAUAUAGGAGGGAGAGAGCAGUCCCAGAGGGCUCCCUGUGUCACCCCAAAUACUUUCUUCUCCAAAUUUUUCCUUUAUUCUUUUUGCGACCUUCCUCACAAUGGUCUUUGUAACAAUUGUAACAAUCCUCUUGUUACAUCACAUUGGAUGGUUAACCCAAAGCAGUCACAUCUCAGUCUGAAUAAGGUCACAGGACUUUUUUUUUUUUUUUUUUUUUUUUGAGAAGGAGUCUCACUCUGUCCCCCAGGCUGGAGUGCAGUGGCACAAUCUCGGCUCACUGCAAGCUCCGCCUCCCAGGUUCAAACGAUUCUCUUGCCUCAGCCUCCCGCGUAGCUGGGACUACAGGUGUGCGCCACCACACCAGCUAAUUUUUGUAUUUUUAGUAGUUGGGGUUUCACCAUAUUGGCCAGGAUGGUCUUGAUCUCUUGACCACAUGAUCCCCUCACCUCGGCCUCCCAAAGUGCUGGGAUUACAGGCGUGAGCCACUGUGCCCAGCCAAGUUCAUAGGACUUUUAAGAUGGUGAGUUAGGAGAGAAUCCAAGGACGCUGGAUGGGAGGGAGGACUCCUGGCUUAGAGGGUGGGGAGUGACAGCAGAGUAUGAGCAGGCACAUCUGGCUUGAAGACAUCCCCUGCUUCUUCCCGCUGUGUCUGGGCUUCCACUCCUCUCUGCCCCUUCUCAGGUUGGCCAAGACCCCCUCUGCUUUCCUGUGUUUCAUCUGCACUUACUCUGGGCACAGGAUUAAGGCUUGGGAGAUUCCCUCUUUUUCCCUACAUAAGUACAAGACACCUGUUUGCAGUUGUUUUUUCUGUUUAUGGUCUUUCCUCAGCAGGAUACUUGAGGCAUUCCUGAGAUCUGAUCUUAUUUUUAAGAAAAAAAAUGAAGAGGAGGAUUUUUAUUAAUGUCAAUAUUUUAAUCUGAAAGUUAUAUUACUCACUAAAGAACUUGUAGAAAUAUAGAAAUAUAUAGUGAUAAAAGUCACCCCUAGCUACUUUUAUAGUUUGGGAUAAUCCCUGUAUACCAUUAUAAAACAAGGUGUAGGAUUUUAAUAAACUUAUUUUAAUCCUUAUAUAUAUAUGUGUGUAUAUAUA
rnacentral:lncRNA from 10 species